rnacentral:rRNA from 1 species
GGGGGCCCGCACAAGCGGCGGAGCAUGCGGAUUAAUUCGAUGCAACGCGAAGAACCUUACCAAGGCUUGACAUGGACCGGACCGGGCUGGAAACAGUCCUUCCCCUUUGGGGCCGGUUCACAGGUGGUGCAUGGUUGUCGUCAGCUCGUGUCGUGAGAUGUUGGGUUAAGUCCCGCAACGAGCGCAACCCUCGCCAUUAGUUGCCAUCAUUUAGUUGGGAACUCUAAUGGGACUGCCGGUGCUAAGCCGGAGGAAGGUGGGGAUGGCGUCAAGUCCUCAUGGCCCUUACAGGGUGGGCUACACACGUGCUACAAUGGCGACUACAGAGGGUUAAUCCUUAAAAGUCGUCUCAGUUCGGAUUGUCCUCUGCAACUCGAGGGCAUGAAGUUGGAAUCGCUAGUAAUCGCGGAUCAGCAUGCCGCGGUGAAUACGUUCCCGGGCCUUGUACACACCGCCCGUCACACCAUGGGAGUUGGUUCUACCCGAAGGCGAUGCGCUAACCCGUAAGGGAGGCAGUCGACCACGGUAGGGUCAGCGACUGGGGUGAAGUCGUAACAAGGUAACCGUAAGGGC